UACAGAGGCCUCAAGCGUUACCCGGAAUCACUGGGCGUAAAGGGUGUGUAGGCGGCAUUGUUAGUCUUUCGUAAAAGCCCGCAGGCUUAACCUGUGGAAUGCGGGGGAAACGGCAAUGCUUCGAGGAUGCGAGAGGUGGGCGGAACUCACAGUGUAGGGGUGAAAUCCGUUGAUAUUGUGGGGAACACCAAAUGCGAAGGCAGCUCACUGGCGCACUCCUGACGCUGAAACACGAAAGCGUGGGAAUCGAACGGG
rnacentral:rRNA from 1 species